rnacentral:rRNA from 1 species
GGACAACCUACCCUAAGGAGGGGGAUAACCCCGGGAAACUGGGGAUAAUACCCCAUAGACUAGAGAAGCUGGAAUGCUCUCAAGUCCAAAGGUCCGCCGCCUUAGGAUGGGUCUGCGGUCGAUUAGGUUGUUGUUGGGGUAACGGCCCAACAAGCCCGUGAUCGAUACGGGUUGUGAGAGCAAGAGCCCGGAGAUGGAUUCUGAGACACGAAUCCAGGCCCUACGGGGCGCAGCAGGCGCGAAAACUUUACAAUGCGGGAAACCGUGAUAAGGGAAUCUCGAGUGCCAGCAUAUAAUGUUGGCUGUCCAGAUGCCUAAAAAGCAUCUGUUAGCAAGGGCCGGGCAAGACCGGUGCCAGCCGCCGCGGUAACACCGGCGGCCCGAGUGGUGGCCACUAUUAUUGGGUCUAAAGGGUCCGUAGCCGGUUUGGUCAGUCUUCCGGGAAAUCUGACGGCUCAACCGUUAGGCUUUCGGGGAUACUACCAGGCUUGGGACCGGGAGAGGUAAGAGGUACUACGGGGGUAGGAGUGAAAUCUUGUAAUCCCUGUGGGACCACCAGUGGCGAAGGCGUCUUACCAGAACGGGUCCGACGGUGAGGGACGAAAGCUGGGGGCACGAACCGGAUUAGAUACCCGGGUAGUCCCAGCUGUAAACUAUGCUCGCUAGGUGUCAGGGACGGUGCGACCGUUUCUGGUGCCGCAGGGAAGCCGUGAAGCGAGCCACCUGGGAAGUACGGUCGCAAGGCUGAAACUUAA